rnacentral:rRNA from 1 species
CAAUAGCGUAUAUUAAAGUUGUUGCAGUUAAAAAGCUCGUAGUUGGAUUUCUGGUGGGAGCGAUCGGUCUGGCGCUUAGCGCGAGUACUUGCAUCGUCUCCGGCCAUCCUUGGGGAGAGUCUGUCUGGCAUUAGGUUGUCGGGCAGAGGAUCCUCAUCGUUUACUGUGAAAAAAUUAGAGUGUUCAAAGCAGGCUUAUGCCGUUGAAUAUAUUAGCAUGGAAUAAUAAGAUAGGACUCUGGUACUAUUUUGUUGGUUUGCGCACCAAAGUAAUGAUUAAUAGGGACAGUUGGGGGUAUUCGUAUUCCGUUGUCAGAGGUGAAAUUCUUGGAUUUACGGAAGACGAACUACUGCGAAAGCAUUUACCAAGAAUGUUUUCAUUAA